GACGAACGUUGGCGGCGUGCCUAAUACAUGCAAGUCAACUGAAAUACCGGUAGCAAUACUGGUAUGGAGGUGGCGCACGGGUGAGUAACACGUAGGUAAUCUGCCUUCAGGUCUGACAUAACCCAUCGAAAGGUGAGCUAAUAUCAGAUGAUGCAGCGGCUUGACAUCAAGACAGUUGUUAAAGCUUCGGCGCCUGAAGAUGAGCCUGCGUCUGAUUAGCUAGUUGGCGGGGUAACGGCCCACCAAGGCUGCGAUCAGUAGCUGGUCUGAGAGGGCGGGACGGCCACACUGGGACGUGAGACACGGCCCAGACUCCUACCGGGAGGCAGCAGUGGGGAAUUGUUCGCAAUGGGCGCAAGCCUGACGACGCAACGCCGCGUGGAGGAUGAAGAUUUUC
rnacentral:rRNA from 1 species